rnacentral:rRNA from 1 species
GAUGAACGCUGGCGGCGUGCCUAAUACAUGCAAGUCGAGCGAACAGAUGAGGAGCUUGCUCCUCUGACGUUAGCGGCGGACGGGUGAGUAACACGUGGAUAACCUACCUAUAAGACUGGGAUAACUUCGGGAAACCGGAGCUAAUACCGGAUAAUAUAUUGAACCGCAUGGUUCUAUAGUGAAAGAUGGUUUUGCUGUCACUUAUAGAUGGAUCCGCGCCGCAUUAGCUAGUUGGUAAGGUAACGGCUUACCAAGGCAACGAUGCGUAGCCGACCUGAGAGGGUGAUCGGCCACACUGGAACUGAGACACGGUCCAGACUCCUACGGGAGGCAGCAGUAGGGAAUCUUCCGCAAUGGGCGAAAGCCUGACGGAGCAACGCCGCGUGAGUGAUGAAGGUCUUCGGAUCGUAAAACUCUGUUAUUAGGGAAGAACAAAUGUGUAAGUAACUAUGCACGUCUUGACGGUACCUAAUCAGAAAGCCACGGCUAACUACGUG